GAACGAGGAUAUAUCCUUCGGGAUAUAAGCCGAGUGGCACAAGGGUGAGCAAUGCAUAGAUUACCUACCUUUAGGAUAAGGGCAACUUUGUGAAAACGGAGCUAAUACUUAAUAAUACAAAAGAAAAUAAUUUUCUUUUGUCAAAGGGAGGGUAGCAAUACCUUUCGCCUAGAGAGGGGUUUAUGUCCUAUCAGCUUGUUGGUGGGGUAAUAGCCUACCAAGGCGAAGACGGGUAGCCGGUUUAAGAGGAUGGUCGGCCACACUGGGACUGAGACACUGCCCAGACUUCUACGGAAGGCUGCAGUCGAGAAUCUUUCGCAAUGCCCGAAAGGGUGACGAAGCGACGCCGCGUGGGUGAAGAAGGCCUUCGGGUUGUAAAGCCCUGUCAGGAGUUAUGAAAUGUAAGUGCGCUAAUAUCGUGCUUAUUUGACAAAGGCUCCAAAGGAAGCCACGGCUAACUCUGUGCCAGCAGCCGCGGUAAUACAGAGGUGGCGAGCGUUGUUCGGAAUUAUUGGGCGUAAAGAGCACGUAGGUGGGUUUGCAAGUCAGAUGUGAAAGCCUUCUGUUCAACGGAAGAAUUGCAUCUGAAACUGCUAAUCUUGAGUAUAGGAGGGGAGAAUGGAACUUCUGGUGGAGCGGUGAAAUGCGUAGAUAUCAGAAGGAACGCCGGCGGCGAAAGCGAUUCUCUGGCCUAUUACUGACACUCAGUGUGCGAAAGCUAGGGGAGCAAACGGGAUUAGAUACCCCGGUAGUCCUAGCCGUAAACGAUGGGCACUAAGUAGAGGGAAUUACCUAUAUUCUCUCUGCCGUAGCUAACGCAUUAAGUGCCCCGCCUGGGGAGUACGGCCGCAAGGCUAAAACUCAAAAGAAUUGACGGGGGCUCGCACAAGCGGUGGAGCAUGUGGCUUAAUUCGAUGCAACGCGAAAAACCUUACCGGGGCUUGACAUGAUAGAAGUAGGAACCUGAAAGGGGGACGAACGGUAUCCAGUCCGUAGCUAUCACAGGUGUUGCAUGGCUGUCGUCAGCUCGUGUCGUGAGACGUUGGGUUAAGUCCCCUAACGAGCGAAACCCUUGUUUUUAGUUACCAGCGGGUUAUGCCGGGUACUCUAGAAAGACUGCCGUCGUCAAGACGGAGGAAGGUGGGGAUGACGUCAAGUCAUCAUGGCCCUUAUGCCCCGGGCUGCACACGUGCUACAAUGGUCGGUACGGACGGAAGCGAAGCCGAGAGGUGAAGCGAAUCCUAAAAAGCCGAUCUCAGUUCGGAUUGGAGGCUGAAAUUCGCCUCCAUGAAGUUGGAAUCGCUAGUAAUCGCGGAUCAGCAAUGUCGCGGUGAAUAUGUUCCCGAGCCUUGUACACACCGCCCGUCAAGCCACCCAAGCAGGAUGCACCCGAAAACAUUAUAUCUAACCAGGGCAACUUGGAGGAAAAUGUUGAAGGAGUGUUUUGUGA
rnacentral:rRNA from 1 species